GCCGUAGUAGCUCAGUGGUAGAGCGCUUCCUUGGUAAGGAAGAGGUCACGAGUCCGACUCUCGUCUAUGGCU
rfam:Bacterium F083 scaffold_8, whole genome shotgun sequence.